CUUCCAGUGCCGACAACUAAAGGCAUUAAAGCAUUCCCGCCUGGGGGAGUACGACCCGCAAGGUUGAAACUCAAAAGAAAAUGACGGGGGCCCGCACAAGCGGUGGAGCAUGUGGUUUAAUUCGAAGCAACGCGAAGAACCUUACCAGGUCUUGACAUCUUUUGAUCACCUGAGAGAUCAGGUUUCCCCUUCGGGGGCAAAAUGACAGGUGGUGCAUGGUUGUCGUCAGCUCGUGUCGUGAGAUGUUGGGUUAAGUCCCGCAACGAGCGCAACCCUUAUGACUAGUUGCCAGCAUUUAGUUGGGCACUCUAGUAAGACUGCCGGUGACAAACCGGAGGAAGGUGGGGAUGACGUCAAAUCAUCAUGCCCCUUAUGACCUGGGCUACACACGUGCUACAAUGGAUGGUACAACGAGUUGCGAGACCGCGAGGUCAAGCUAAUCUCUUAAAGCCAUUCUCAGUUCGGACUGUAGGCUGCAACUCGCCUACACGAAGUCGAAUCGCAGAUCGCAGCUGAUC
rnacentral:rRNA from 2 species